rnacentral:lncRNA from 1 species
CUAAGCAUGGUCUAAUGUUUUGAGGGCAAUGACAGGGACCAUUCCAUUUGACGAGGCUCAUGCUGCCCGGAUUUCGUUAAACAAGCCAUCUAUGUCCCAAAGUUGAGGACCGUUUGGAGAAGAGGCCACCCAGGUAAGCUUAUCCAAGCUCAAACAUUAAUUUAAUCACUAUUUAGUUGUCGUAUUUGCGUUCCUAGAUGGAUCUUUUGAGAUUCCACAACUUUGAUAUUCUUACUUGGGAUCAUUUGAUAUGUGCCAUUGAAAAUAACAGAACAGAUCAUUCUUAGAUGAAUUCUUAGCUGAUUUCAUUGGGCUUCUCCCUUUACGCCAAUAUGAAAUAUAUUAGCUGCAGUAUAUAGUCUAGGUUCAUUUUAAUGCGACUAAAUGAGAUAAAAAUACUACUUGCUUAUACCACUCGAGUAUCCACCGUUAGGACGUUAUGUUCCCUGCGACCACAACAUAACCUUUUUGACUUAUUAUCCCUAAAAAAAGCUGUCUCUUUUUCACAAGCUGAAAAGACAAUCUGAUCUGCUACAUUUGGUCUGAAAUUUUCUUCUUGUGUGUCCACAUGAUAAAGAGGAUGCCUUUGAUCAAUUGUAAAUCACUUAUUUUUCUAGGAUAUAUAGAUAUCUUGAAUUACCCACAAUAUACUUUUAUGUCAUCUAAUAUAUGUCUCCCAGACAAUUUAAACAGAUGCAGGAUAUGAUUAGGCGCACAUAUACAAGUAUCUUUAUGACGACACUUGCACCAGUUUUCAUCGUUGUUGUUCUUGCCUGUUGCCUCCCCCCCUAUCGCUUCGCUAG